rnacentral:rRNA from 1 species
UGGGGAAUUUUGGACAAUGGGCGCAAGCCUGAUCCAGCCAUGCCGCGUGAGUGAAGAAGGCCUUCGGGUUGUAAAGCUCUUUCGGCCGGAAGAAAUCGUGGUCUCUAACAUAGGCCAUGGAUGACGGUACCGGACUAAGAAGCACCGGCUAACUACGUGCC